rnacentral:rRNA from 1 species
AUUGAACGCUGGCGGCAAGCCUAACACAUGCAAGUCGAGCGGCAGCGUAAAAGUUUACUUUUGACGGCGAGCGGCGUACGGGUGAGUAAUAUCUGGGAAUCUGCCUAAUGAAGGGGGAUAACUAUUGGAAACGAUAGCUAAUACCGCAUAAUGUCAAUUUAUUGACCAAAGUAGGGGAUUUAAAUAAAAAUUUAAACCUUAUAUCAUUAGAUGAGCCCAGACGAGAUUAGCUAGUAGGUGAGGUAAUUGCUUACCUAGGCUAUGAUCUCUAGCUGGUCUGAGAGGACAAACAGCCACACUGGAACUGAGACACGGUCCAGAC